rnacentral:rRNA from 1 species
GAUGAACGCUAGCGGCAGGCCUAACACAUGCAAGUCGAGGGGUAGCAGGAUUAAGCUUGCUUAAUUGCUGACGACCGGCGCACGGGUGUGUAACGCGUAUGCAACCUACCUUAUACUGGGGUAUAGCCCGGGGAAAUUCGGAUUAAUCCCCCAUAGUACUAAUGAAUCGCAUGGUUUAUUAGUUAAAGCAUUGCGGUAUAAGAUGGGCAUGCGUCCUAUUAGCUAGAUGGUGAGGUAACGGCUCACCAUGGCUACGAUAGGUAGGGGGCCUGAGAGGGUGGUCCCCCACACUGGUACUGAGACACGGACCAGACUCCUACGGGAGGCAGCAGUGAGGAAUAUUGGUCAAUGGGCGCAAGCCUGAACCAGCCAUGCCGCGUGCAGGAAGAAUGCCCUAUGGGUUGUAAACUGCUUUUAUUUGGGAAUAAACCUCUUUACGUGUAGAGAGCUGAAGGUACCAAAUGAAUAAGCACCGGCUAACUCCGUGCCAGCAGCCGCAGUAA